UACGUAGGUGGCGAGCGUUGUCCGGAUUUAUUGGGUUUAAAGGGUGCGUAGGCGGCCCUAUAAGUCAGUGGUGAAAUAUCGCAGCUUAACUGUGAGGGUGCCAUUGAUACUGUAGGGCUUGAGUGAAUUUGAGGUAGGCGGAAUUGACGGUGUGGCGGUGAAAUGCUUAGAUAUCGUCAAGAACACCGAUAGUGAAGACAGCUUACCAAGCUUCAACUGACGCUGAGGCACGAAAGUGUGGGGAUCAAACAGG
rnacentral:rRNA from 1 species